AGAAGACCACCAGACACAGAAUCUAUUGCCAUGGAUUCCCAUAUGUAUGUGCACAGUGCGUAUGGCAAUCUGAGCUCUAUACAUACUGCCACCAAAAGAGAAUCCAAAUCUCCCUCUCUCUCUCUGUCUCUCUCUCUCUCUCUGGUUGCACCACCAGCAGCAGUGACGAGGAGAGCGAGUAGAAAUAGAUCUUCUUUCUACACUGCUAUCUCUCUUCACUGGUUCUUGCCAGUCAGUGGCUUUCUCUCUCCUUUUGCCUCCCUUUCUUGGUCUCAAUCCGUAGCCAAAAAGCCCCAUGGAUGAAAGGAUCCCCACCUGCUGUUUACUUCCAGUAUUCCCCUUCUGGUGUUCACUCAUCUCCCUCCCCUCACCACUCCAUGAGGUCUCCAGCCACCUCAGACAGAAAAAUAUCUGCCUCCUCCUUGCCUCUUUUUCUCGUGUGAUGUGAUGUGGGGUUUGUGAUUCUUGAUCUUCUUUGUGGUUGAGAAUGCGAUUAAUUGGUUCAUUAUCUGUUCUGGAUUGGUUUCUGAUUUCGUUUGAUCUUGGUUUGUUUAUGAUUGCUAGAAUUUCUUGGGGGUUCAGUAUCCAGUCGACCUGUUCAUGUUAAAUGUUGAAUUUUUAGCUACUUAAAUAUGUUCAGUCACAAAAAUUGUUGCUUGUCAUGGUGAUAUCUUGUGGAGGCUCACAAUUGGAUGCACCUGUUUGUGCUGGUUUUGUCUUAAUUACUAUGCUGCAUCAUAUACUGAGGAAAAGGAACCUAUUUUGGUGCAGAUUGUGUGACUUCUGAAUCUACUUAUAAUAGUAAUUAGCUAAUGGUUACAGGGCACCUUUUGCAUCACUUUGAGUUGGUGACUAUUGCUAAAUUGGUUUGGUCUUGCAUUGGAUGUUUACCAAAUACAUAAGCCAUUGUGGAUUCCAGAAUAAUUAUGAUUUGUGCUGUCAUUGUGAUGUAUGCCCCAAUAUAGACUCUCUCCAUUAAUGAGCAGUGGUUUAAUAGUUUGGUCAAAACUGUAUUAGCAUUGAGAAGCAAAAUUCUUGUUGUCAUUAUAGAGUACUUAGAGGCCUAAUGUUUUUUUUGCAUUGCUCGGUACUUGCCAUUUUGAAAGCUGUGGAGCUAUUUUCGCAGGUAUUUGGCUGGACUGUUGGCUGAGAGGCAAAAGUUGGGACCAUUUCCGCAAGUAUUUCCAUUUUUCUGUAGGCUUCUAAACCAAGAAAUUGUGCGGGCUUCCGGUUUAGCACCUAACCAAACUUUUGUGGAACAUGAGAGAAUUGAGCAUGUCACUCCAUUAUGAUUAAUUGGGCACCCAUCCAAUGGUGGACUGAUGGAUCUGGAGGGGCGGUCGGGAAAUGCACACAGAGCAGUCAGAUUCAGUCUUGUCUGGGUUUGCAUUAGGAGGAUAGUUUUUAUCACUCAUGUGAUUUAACUUUGAAGGUUUGAUAUAGUAGGAAGUAUGAAUAGGCUCAGUGAUCGGGAAGAGGAGAUUGUGUCCAAGUCGAUGAAACUCGUACAUUUCAAAUAUGCAUCUGCCUGUAGCUUCACCAAGAGGGGUGUGCAACUGCAAUCUACCACUGUUUGUGGAAAAUGAAUACUUUCACAGAACAGGGAUCCUUCAAGCAUCAGCUCCAGGUUGGAAUGGAACUGCUGGAGUUAAUACGAGCCCUAUCACAAAGAAAGUCAUCAGGAAGAAAAGCUAAGGGAUAACCGUGAAACUAGCACCUAAAUGAGCCACUGCAUGUACUUGUGGAGGCAGAGUUUACAGCAGACAUAGUUGACCUUUGUUUAAAUCAAGCUGUGACCAUAUUGGAAGAUCUUUUGAAGCCCAUGGUUGAGUCCAUGGAUUACUACAAGAAUCAACAACUGAGGGAGUUGGCUAUACUGAAUGGUACUUUGAGAGAGAAAACCCUCAUAUGAGCCCCAGCGCAUCUCCCUUCAACAGCACAGGAAUGGAACAGGCGAUGAUCUGAGUUUCUAGUAGAUCAACCCAAUCUCGAUUACCAAAUCCAGGUUUUGUUACCUUAUCAGAGAAUUUUUCUGAUACACAUGGCUGCUAAUUGAUGGUGCUGAGAUCAGUAAUGGUGCUGGGAUCAGUAGCAGAGCUUUGGACACCAAUAAGUUGAUUUCUAGGCAGUUCUUUGGAUUGGUCAUAUCCUGCGAUACAAAAAUUUUCUGCAUGAUAAUUGCCUUUAACUUCUGCGCGUGAACGCAGCUCUUGAAUUUGUUUAAUUACUUAUUCUUUAUUGUAUGUUUGCUAUUGUAAUAAGUUCAAAUCAGAAUGGAUUCAAUGACAUAUGAUUAUAAUAGAUCUUUGUAUCUUUGGUUUGCC